rnacentral:rRNA from 1 species
GAUGAACGCUGGCGGCGUGCCUAAUACAUGCAAGUCGAGCGAACGGACGAGAAGCUUGCUUCUCUGAUGUUAGCGGCGGACGGGUGAGUAACACGUGGAUAACCUACCUAUAAGACUGGGAUAACUUCGGGAAACCGGAGCUAAUACCGGAUAAUAUUUUGAACCGCAUGGUUCAAAAGUAAAAGACGGUCUUGCUGUCACUUAUAGAUGGAUCCGCGCUGCAUUAGCUAGUUGGUAAGGUAACGGCUUACCAAGGCCACGAUGCAUAGCCGACCUGAGAGGGUGAUCGGCCACACUGGAACUGAGACACGGUCCAGACUACUACGGGAGGCAGCAGUAGGGAAUCUUCCGCAAUGGGCGAAAGCCUGACGGAGCAACGCCGCGUGAGUGAUGAAGGUCUUCGGAUCGUAAAACUCUGUUAUUAGGGAAGAACAUAUGUGUAAGUAACUGUGCACAUCUUGACGGUACCUAAUCAGAAAGCCACGGCUAACUACGUG